UUCCUCAAUGCUCAAAAAAGCAUUGAAGAAAAUCGAGUUUUCAUUGAACAGAAGAAAAAAGGUUCCCGUAAGUUUUAUUUUCAUUAUUUUACCAUGUGAAGUACAGUGAAAAAGUUUCAGCUUUCACAUCUGUAAAUUUUUGAUAUAUUACUGUAUGUCGAAUCAUAACUCAUUAGACAUGUAAUUAUCUGGAACUACAUUUGUUAAACAAAAACUAUAAUAAUGGUAUUAAAGAUACCAAAAUUGUUCUCAAACGUCUCACCCCUUGAGUUUUUAAGGUUAAUGAAAUGCUUAUAUAUAUAUAUAAAUAUAUAUAAUAUAUAAAGGUUCUCAAAUAUUAAAAUAUGAGAAGCUGCACCUAAAAUGGAGACUGGAAAUGGGUCCCAACCAUUAUAAACGAAAGAUGGGCAUGGCAACCAAUUCUAUGUUCCAAUACUAUUAGCUUACCAAGUUCUAAAUGAUUCCUGAUGUCAUACAUACUAAAUAUACAGCUAUCUGACCAAAGGCUGAAGGAAGAAGUAAACUUGAAGAUAAAACUAAUAAUAAAAAAAAAGAGUAAGAAAGAUACAUGAAAAUGGGGGAAAAAAAAAAA